rnacentral:rRNA from 1 species
CCUANGGGUGGCAGCAGUGGGGAAUCUUGCACAAUGGGGGAAACCCUGAUGCAGCGACGCCGCGUGAGUGAUGAAGCCCUUCGGGGUGUAAAACUCUUUCGGCAGGAACGAUUAUGACGGUACCUGCAGAAGAAGCUGCGGCUAACUACGUGCCAGCAGCCGCGGUAAUACGUAGGCAGCAAGCGUUGUUCGGAAUUACUGGGCGUAAAGAGUGUGUAGGCGGUUAUCUAAGUUUGGUGUGAAAUCUCCCGGCUCAACUGGGAGGGUGCGCCGAAAACUGGAUGGCUGGAGUAUGGGAGAGGAAAGCGGAAUUCCUGGUGUAGCGGUGAAAUGCGUAGAUAUCAGGAGGAACACCUGCGGUGUAGACGGCUUUCUGGACCAUCACUGACGCUGAGACACGAAAGCGUGGGUAGCAAACAGGAUUAGAUACCCCUNUANUC